rnacentral:tRNA from 1 species
GGUUCUGGCUCAGUGGUAGAGCACUUGCCUAACAUGUGUGAGGCACUGGGUUCAAUUCUCAGCACCA